AAGUGGCUUUGGGAAUCUCACCUCCCUGCGGUCGCUGCGGGGCUUGGAGGAGCGAACUGCAAAACAACUUUUAUUUGACCCACAUGCCGCCCCUCAGAUUUUAUCUUCCAUCACUCGCCUGCAUCGAAAGGUUUUUCAGUUUAAGAGCUGAUUAGCUCACUCAUGUGUUUGCUGUUGGUAGCGGGGAAGGAGGAGCUGGGCGAAACACUUAAAAAUACACGCACACAAACUCUGGCAGCCGAUAAGGUGGUGGUUGUAAUGUACAAGCUCUUUGUGCUUUACUACAAAGUUCCUAACGUGUCUGUGAUUACUGGCAUAUAUAUAUUUUUUCUUUUUUGGAAGGGUGGUGGCAUUAGUUAUGAUGUAAGGAUUAUCUGUUGGAUGUGUAGAGGAGACAGUUUUGGGUAUGCAAUUGAAGUGUAUAGUGUUUUUUCCUUUUUUUUUUUUUUCCCAUCUCCCUUUUUUCUCUACUUAAUAUAGUCAUAUGCAUCAGAGCAGUACUUCACUGGAAAUAGUCAAUGCCCAACUCAAGAUUUUCAUGGUAAUUUUCUAAAGACCUGUUUGUGGAGUGUGCUCACUUUUUCCUUCCAUUUUUAAGUACACUUAACAGUUCAGUUGAGCUGUUAAAGCAUCUCAAGUUUCUUUUUUGUUAGGUGUCAAAGGUAGUGGUGAGCUAGUGGAUGCUCUAGGCUUCCCUUAAUGUUUUCUGUUUUGGUUUGGUUUUGUUGAUGUCUGGGGACACAGUGCAUGAUCUAGUUGAGUCCUGGGGGAGAAAAGGAAGAUUAGCCAAAACAGGGACUUAAAGCUCAUAAGGGAGAGUGGAGUAGCUAAUAUAAUUAGAUACCAGGCUAGAGCUACAGAUGCUGCUCCUGCUGCAGUAUUGUGGAGACAACUGAUCAUACCGAGUGGAAAACUCUCUGCGUGGAAGGGAACACUGUGGAGCUCGUUCGGUUAUGUGCCUCUACAGGUCAAGGCUCCUGCUGCCGCCGCCGCUGCUGCUGCUGCUGCUGCUGCUGCUGCAGACACUGACAUCACUAUACUGCAUGAAUGAAAAACAACAACGUGCUCCAUUUCUUGCUCUCCACCUCCUUCCUUUUUUGCACACUCCUCUGUGUGUGUGUGUGUGUGUGUGUGUGUGUGUAUUUACGAUGGUGUUAUGCUGCAUAUGAAACUACAUUUAAAAAUGUUAAAUUAAGUAGAUGGUGGCUCAAGGGAUAUGUAUUUAGUACAGAGGCAUAUUGUUUACAGAAAGCUUCAAGUGCUAUGAGCAUUUGGACUGGAGGUGACAUAACUGAGCAUUCGUUUUUUUUUAUUGUUUUUUUUUUUUCCUGGACUGGUGGUGAUGGAAGAAAAUACAGAAGCUUCAAAUAGUUUUCUUUGUAAUUGUUUUACCAAGAAGAAAUUACGAAACAACAUAAUUUCUAAACAUGUCAGAUCAUUAUUAUUUCCCUCUUAAACAUUCUUAAUAUGCAUAUUUAGGGUUAGGCUAUAAUAAUAAAGAAAUGAUACUCAGGCUAUUUCAUAAAGCUGAGGAAAAGCUGAAUUCUGUAAUUGGUACAAUCAGUUUUAAUAUAUUAAUUUAUGAAAUUAAGCGAGAUGGCAAUUUUCUUUAUUUUUGUAGCACAGUUUUAGAUAAUUUGAAACGGUAUCAUAAGAUACGUAAGUCUUUUAAUAACCUUGCUCUAUAUAGAGGAUAUGGACUUUUACAAAUUAAAACUAUCUCGUUUAUACAUGUGAAUCAUAUUUUUGUAUUUUUUAAAUUUCUAUUGUAUUUUUAAACCUUCAAGGUUUGUUAUUUAUAUUCAUUUCUCUACUUCUGCCAUUUAGCAAAAUGUCACCCUCCCCCUUGUUUGGUUCUGAAGGGUCUUGAAGUGGUGAAUGACAAGCUGCUGAAUGCAUCCUCAGGCUCCCUGUGAUGUGUUUGUAAUAGAUGUAAAAUCAUAAAGUAUUAUGCAAAUAGUUAUUUUUUUGUAAUGGUAAUACAUAAAGUCUACCUUUGAGAUAAAUAGAACAACUCAAAUGGGAAUAUAGCAGGAUGUUAGUGUUAAAGUUAAUCAUCUGUAAGCUAAAAUCAUGAGUAAUAACCAAAAGAAAAUAAAGUUGCUUCUUUGUGAAA